rfam:Triticum aestivum genome assembly, contig: Triticum_aestivum_CS42_TGACv1_scaffold_591923_7BS
ACGAGCCACAUGCAGGGAAACUUGCACGUGUGGUUCUGGCCGGGGACCCCGGUAUACCGUAC